GUUUAUUUUUUUCCCCUACUUCCCGUUGCUUGUUUGUUCAUUAUUUUCCUUUUUUAAAUCUUUAGGCAGAGCAAAGUCUCUAUCACCACUCUGAAGCCAAUGGAUUCUCAAGUAUUUUUGUGAAAUCAAAUCUAGAUGAUGUUUCAGCAUUGUGAUUUUUAGGAAACAAAUUUCACUCUUUCUUUAAAAAUAAAAAUUAAAAAAUGAAACUUAAUUAAUGAAGUUCUAAAAACCAGAAGUUAGACACAAAAUUUGGACUAGAUAAUUCAUUCUUCAAAAAUUGUAACACAGUAUUUACUUAAAGCUACUAUUACUAAUCUAGUUAUGAAGAUCUAGUCAUGCAAAACAAAUUAAUAAUAACAACGGUAGCGACUAGCCGUUCUUUAAUAUAAUUUUUUCAUAUUAUACGACCAAUUUCUUUAAUAAAAAUGGUUUAAUGAGGGGUUAGAUAGAUAGAAUUAUAGUUAGAGCCAUAAUUAAUGGGCUUUUCUUUUUAUAAAAUUUAAAAAUUUAGGUAAAGUUUUUAAAUUUUAGAACAACCCAAAACUAGAUUUUGGCCCCGCAACUAAUUUUUUCUAGUUUUUGGUAUCUUGGGACUUUUUCCAAAACUUGAUAACGUUUAUGGCCAAACAAGUCCUUCAGGUCGGAAUGAACUUUUUGAGAUGCAACAAAAAAGGUGAUAAAAAACGAAAUCUAGUAUUGGUAGAGGGUUGGUGGGUAGGAGUUCAUCCGUUAUAGUAUGGAAGAGUUCUUUGUUUGUAUCUGCGCCUAGAGUUUCUUGUUCGUGAUAUUUCGGUGAUGUCUAUGAUUUUGGAUAGAUAGUUUAUAGUAGUACCUUGUGGAUGUCUUGUUCUCUUUAUUAUCUAGCCGUGUGUUAUCCCAUUUUGUUGUGUACUUUCAUGUUUUUUGUUUGUUAUACUGUUCUAUGUCCUGAGCCGGGGUUCUAUCGGAAACAACCUCUCUAUUUCAUUUGAGGUAGUGGUAUGGACUGCAUACACGUUGCCCUCCCCACACCUCACUUUGCCGGAAUACAUUGGGUAUGUUGUUGUUGGUAUCGGUAGGAAUUGAAAUAAUUUGCUCCAGAAAGUUGAUAGCUUAGCUUAAUACUAAUGAACUAGUAAUCUGUUGCCAUGCACAUAUGUAUUUAUUAUCUUUGGAGAUUCAUCUCAGUAGUUAUAAUGACCCUUCAGGCCAUUAGCUGUGUUCUUGCUUAUCUUCGCCAAUAGAGCUGCUCCACAGCCAUCUCAAGUCAUUAGUGGCUUGCUGGAAUCGAUAGUUCGGUUACCUAAUAGUUUGAUUGGUUUUUAAAACCACUUUUCCAAUUUGAAGUCUUCGUCGAUUAUUCAAUCAAUAUCAUAACAAUGCCGUUGGCCCAUUAAGUAAUCCAAAAUAAUCACAACAUCAUAAUCAUGGCAUUAGGCCCAUACACAUAUCCAGAACUUAUAUCAAUAAUCAUAUUUAUAAGUCAUAGCAUAUCCCUAAUCAUCUCACAUAUAGGAGGGAUAAUAUAGAUAAGCAUGUCAUCAUCUCUCACACAAGAGGCAUCUCACAUCUAGGAGGAAUAAUAUAGAUAGACAUGUAAUUGUCUAUAGGAUAUCAUAUAUCAAUAGGUCAUACAGCAUGACAACGAGGAAUAUCACUCCUCUAGGCCAAUUUACAUAUCCAAGAGGAACAUCGUCUCUAUAUGUCGAACAAUCAUGAAUAAAGAAAAUCGCAACUAUAUGGGUCAAUCAUCAAGUCUAAGAGGAAAUAACAACUUUAUAGGACAAUCAUCAAGUUUAAGAGGAAAUAGCACCUCGAUAGGCCACAUAACAUAUCUAGGAGGAAUAUCAUCUCUAAAUUCCCAAUAUCACUUUACGAUUCUCAAAAUGCCAUCACACUAUCAAAACCAUAAUCUACUUAAUAAGAGUUUAAUGAUACCCAUAUUGCACUAUUGUGCCAUGGGUUUCAAAAUGACACCAAAUUAAAACCUGGUCCCACCUUCGAAAAAUGAGCUUCCGAAAUCAACCCAUAGUCUAAAUAUCAUUGGGGAGCUAAAACCCUCAACAAAUUUGAGUAAAGCAAUCACAUUUAUGGCUACAAUUGAGCCUCAAAGACUUGGGGUUUUUGGUCUAGAAAUUAAGAAAUUAAUAUCAAAUUUGAAGGAAUAUUACCUUAGAUUUGUAGAAAAAAAUUGGAUUACACAAGUUGCUAAGCUUUUAACCAACCCACAAGACUCAUUUUUUUUUUUUUUUGACAACAAAUAUUUAUGGAUGCUGGCGUUUUCAAAAUGCUGAAGAAUGUCUCAAAAAUCUGCCAAAAGGCCUUUUUUUUAUAUGAGUUUAAAUGGGCCCGCAAGGUCAAAACUUGUUUUUGACCUCUCGGACUUAUUCAAACUUCGUUUUUUGCAAACGAACUAUGUUACCCCACUAAAUUCGACAUUUUGGACGCAUUGGUGAAGUCAGAUUUUCAUCCGAGGUCAUUUAGGCCACUUGUAUUUCCCACACCCAUAUAUCCCGAUUUUUAACUUUUCGACUAAUGGUUCGAAAUGAGCUCGGGUGUUGUGGGAUUCGGACCAAGGGUCUACCUACCCUCAAAUUGAUAUGACAUAGCUGCUGGCGUAAUCAAAAUUUGCAUCCAAAAUUAUUUUACUGAAGUUUUUGUUCGGCGGCCAUUUGGAAUCGACGAAGACUUCAAAUUGGAAAAGUGGUUCUAAAAACCAAACGAACCGUCAGAUAACCGAACUAUUGAUUCCAGCAAGCCAUUAAUGACUUGGGAUAGCUAUAGUGGAGCUCUAUUGGUGAAGAUAAGUAAGAACACUGCUAAUGACCUGAAGUGUCAUUACAACAUCCACUACUAAGGAACUUUCAUCCUUGAAAGUUAAAGAUGAGGAAAUACCUGAAGUCUCGAAUAGGUGUGGAUACUACAGAAAUCUCUCUAGUAUGCAACUGCCUCACAUAGCUAGCCAAGAUGAGCAUGGGCUCCUCUACAAAGGCCAACUGCUCAUCUAACUGGACUAAGUCCCACCUUAGCACAUGGGACAGGUCAGGAAUAUACUUCCGCAGCAUGGAGAUAUGGAAAACUGGAUUAGCAGCGACAAAGUAUGGAGGUAAAGCUAACUCAUAGAUCACCUCGCCCACUGCGUGGAGAACCUCAAAAUGGCCAAACAAGAUAUACAUAGCAUAUAAACAGAAUGAAAACUACACCCAAGAGUUCAGAAAUCAUAUAAUAGGCCAAUGAGAAUAAUAAGGGAAAACUAUCCUAUUCAUAUCCAAGAGUUUAACAUAAUAAGACUAAGGAAGUAUUAGGGUGAACUAUCUUAUUCCAGUUAUUUUUAAUAUGCGUCAAUGCUAUACCAUAUAUUCUAGGUAUAUAUAUGAAUAAGGAGCGAAAUAACGAUAUAUGGUAAUAUACAAGGCGAAGUAAUGACUAUACAAAAUGAACAACGAAGGAAGGGGAUGUACAGUAGUACCAUAUCUUCAUAUAUAUUUAUACAUACAUACAUACAUACAUACAUAUAUAUAUAUAUAUAUAUAUAUAUAUAUAUGUAUAAAUAUAUAUACAUAUAAACAUGAGGUCAUCUCAAAUAAUAACCUAUAUCAUCAUAUUCUUAUUUAAGACCUCAUUAUAACUCUUAUCAGGAUUUAAAUACUAUCAUACUCGGGGUUUCUAAUCUACAUGGCCAGACAUGAAAUAAUCAUGCAUAAUAAUGCAAUCAUAAGAUAGGAGAGGCCGAAAACGUACCUUAAAUUCCGAUACCGGAUCAAUGACUAAUCUGUCAUAAGCUAGCCAUAAUAAUGAUCAUAACAAUAAUAACAAUAACAUCAAUAAUGACAUGAAUAACCGACUACUCCGGACAACCAAAAAACCUAGCCAAGCCUAUGCGUACCCCUACAGCCCCAGGCUUGGAAGGUUCAAUCAACAUACAACAACACAAGGCAUAUUCUUCACCUAUAUCUAUGCCACCAUCCCAUCCCGGCUGAUAGAAUAGAUGCAUACUGGUGAUAGGCAAUGUGCAUACAAGAAUGAAUGCAAGGUACACAAUCAAUAUCACAACACAUCAUAACUAUCCUCAUCAGGACCAUCAUCAUUGUAAUCAACCUCCGGCCUCGCCGGGUAUCAACGCAUCACAAUAGUCAUUACCGAAUAACAUAUGCUAAAAUACUCAUAAACAUAAUCAUAUCACCACAGAAUAUCUAUCUAGUCAACACUUUCCAACUAACAAUUAUAGUUAACCAACACUUAAUAUAAUAGAAUCACCAUAGAAUUGGCAAUGAUACGACUUUCUUUCAUGAAUGUGAGUGUAGCUUUUCCUAAACCGUAGCAAAAGAAUAUCCUUUUCACCAUUCCUGUAAUGCUAAACUUUUUCCUUGUUUUACUUUCGUCUCUUUGCUUGAAGUGUCAUCGCAACAGCAAUUCUUCUAUUCUUGAUGUUUCCUUGAGCAAGGAGGAGGUAUUUUGGGGUAAUGAUUAUAUCCAAUUAGUGUUGAUAAAGGAGUUGUUCAAUCAAUUUGCAGAAUCAUUUGGAAGGGAUGAAUUCUUGGAAAAACAAAAUAUCUAAUGCACAAUGAGUUACGUUUUCUUUGAUUAAGGAGGUUGUGAUUUCCAAGUCGUACAACCAUCUUUUGGCUUGCUUGAGAUAUAUGAAGCAUGACUUUCUGCAAAUGGAACGUACAGCUCUAAUGGAACUCAAAGGUGUUGUUCAAUCUUGUCUUCGUUGUCAUAAAGUCCGUCAAUUUUUGGUAUCACAAGGACGAGCAUGAAUGGUCAGGAACUACGCAAUCAUGUGGAUGAAGAUUCCCAAUCUGAGUUCAUUUUUCACCACGAUGAUGUCUACUUUGUCUUCCUUAAGAUGAUGCAUGCUUUGUUGUACAUGGAGCACAAAGGUACAUGAGAAAAACAUCGUUUAUUAUAUAACACACAAAUGAGGAUAAUGUUGUACAUAAUGUUUCUUUGCUCAAGUUGGAAAGGAAACGUUGUUGAGUCUUUUAAGUUGUAUUUAUUCAGGAUGGUGGCUUGUAUUCUAUAUUAUUGAUAUACGUUAAGAAUAAUAUUGAAUAAAAUAAAUAAGAUAUUAUUUUCUCUAAUAACUCCUACCAAUCAACUUUUAAAUUAUCAACAUGGGUUGUGGUGUAGCACGACUGUUCUAUGUUUAACAAGAGGUUUUGGGUUCCAGCUCAAAUAUGAAGAAAAUGUUGUUGGGAGCGCCAUCUAGUCGGGUUUCUAAUGUGGGUACCGGACAUGAGUGAGAAACCAAAAAGAAAAAAACUCUAAAUUUGUUCCUUCCCAAGAACCGUGAAGCUAGUGAUGCUUUCGGC